rnacentral:rRNA from 1 species
UCCUACGGGACGCAGCAGUGGGGAAUAUUGCACAAUGGGGGAAACCCUGAUGCAGCGACGCCGCGUGAAGGAAGAAGUAUUUCGGUAUGUAAACUUCUAUCAGCAGGGAAGAAAAUGACGGUACCUGACUAAGAAGCCCCGGCUAACUACGUGCCAGCAGCCGCGGUAAUACGUAGGGGGCAAGCGUUAUCCGGAUUUACUGGGUGUAAAGGGAGCGUAGACGGAAAGGCAAGUCAGAAGUGAAAGCCCAAGGCUCAACCAUGGGACUGCUAUGGAAACUGUCAAACAAGAGUACGGGAGAGGUA